rnacentral:rRNA from 1 species
UUUUGCGCANUGGGGGAAACCCUGNCGCANCAACGCCGCGUGGAGGAUGAAGUCCUUCGGGACGUAAACUCCUUUCGAUCGGGACGAUAAUGACGGUACCGGAAGAAGAAGCCCCGGCUAACUUCGUGCCAGCAGCCGCGGUAAUACGAGGGGGGCGAGCGUUGUUCGGAAUUAUUGGGCGUAAAGGGUGCGUAGGCGGUUUGGUAAGUCUCAUGUGAAAUCUAUGGGCUCAACUCAUAGACUGCAUGAGAAACUGCCGGGCUGGAGUGUGGGAGAGGUGAGUGGAAUUCCCGGUGUAGCGGUGAAAUGCGUAGACAUCGGGAGGAACACCUGUGGCGAAAGCGGCUCACUGGACCAUAACUGACGCUGAUGCACGAAAGCUAGGGGAGCAAACAGGAUUAGAUACCCUGGUAGUCCUAGCCCUAAACCAUGACUGCUUGGUGUGACGGGUACCCAAUCCCGCCGUGCCGCAGCUAACGCGUUAAGCAGUCCGCCUGGGGAGUACGGUCGCAAGGCUGAAACUCAAAAAAAUUGACGGA